rnacentral:lncRNA from 1 species
GACCAUCCAAAAACACAAGGAAGAGAUACAUCCACAGCUAUCCCGCCCAAAGAGGUGGUCCCCGUAGCGCCUCUCUUUUCUUCGGCUCAACGAAAAGCUGUAAGCUCACAUCUUAGCAAAGUCAAGCCCUGGAGAAACCGCGGGACUCUUUACAACCUUUUUCAAGCAUCAGCAUCAAAUCUCUCUCCUCACCCACCGACUUCACGCUCUUGAGUUGUCAAGGCCGGCCACGCAUCAAACACGGGAGAGUGGGGUGGUAUUUUUGUUGUUGUUGUUUCUUUUUGAACAAUGAAAAUAGAGCACAGCUCCGCACCUUUCGAAGAUUUGGAAAAGAAAAACUGUUGGGCAACCCCAGAGAAGAUGCAGCUGCAGGAACAAGGCGCGAUUUGCCCUCUGAAUGACUUUCUUUCUGAGAGAAAACUCACUGAAGCCACCAAACAGCUGGCGCGCUUUCUCUUCCUCUCUCCCUGUCUCUCUGUCCAGGCCAAUUUGCCUUUCGGCUACUCCAACCCCUGCCUAAAAAGCCUCCAGGUUUAGAGGUUAGAAAAACACGAAUUCAAACCGGGAGGAGGAGAGAAAGCCAGCAUUUCGAUUGUCAAGGAACCGGGAGGGGGGGUAGGAGAGAGAAGUUCAAACAGACUUUAAAAACAAAAGGUACUAAGGAUCAACAGGGCACAAGCAAACACCUGAAUGCCUGGCCGCGAUUCCCCUUCCCCACCCCCGUUUCUAACAACCAGCAGCCAAUGGAGGCCGGAGACGCGAGGGGAGCAAGAGCGCUGAUUCGCAGCCCGGAGGAAAGAAAGAAACACACCCCUCUCUCGGGGUAAAGGGAGGAAUAUGGGGGGCGCCGCGCAAGGCGAAGGCGGCGAGAGAAGGAAGAGCGGGAGGAAUAUCGGAAUCGCGAACAAUCGCGGGGAGAAUAAAGAUGAGAACGACGUUGGGGGGGUGGAAGUGGGGCGGACGGAACGGAGAAGUCGGAUUUCGGAAAUUGGGGGGGGAGGCGCGGGGCAGACCCCUCCCCCUUCUCCCGCGACCCCCGGUUCCCGCUCAGCCUGCGAACGCCGAACUCCACCGAGACCCUCCACGUGAUCUCGCAGCCUUGCGAGCUCCGGCGAGACCGCGGCGCCGCACGGUUGGGGCGUCUACCGAUUUUAGCCCCGUCGGACGCGGUGGGAAGGCAGGCGAAUAAUCCGGAGUCAAGGCGUCUCGCUGGCCGAGGAGAGGUUCAUCUGGCGAGGACAAUCAAAGGCUGCUCCCGAGCCUCCUUCCAAUAAAAAAAAAUUGCAAAAACAAAAUAAAUGGAGGCGGGGUAGAACAAUGCAGCGCCUUGCUUCCCUCGGGUUUUUCCCCUCCCCCACUCUGCUCUCUAUGGGUAAGGGGCCAAAAUAAUAAUCGUCCCCCUCCUCGAAAGCGGUGGUGGGGAGGGGGGAGAGCAAAUAGUAAUAAGCUGCAGCAGCAGGGAGUGAGCUGGUAGGCGGGGGGGGGGGCUGGGAGCUCAGCGAGAGAGGCACGUCAUGAGCAGCAGAACCAGCCUCCGAGGGAGAGGAGGAGGAGAAGGAGGCGGGGGUGGUAGGAAAAGAAAAGGACCAUCUAUGAAACGGAACAGCCACUAAGCGAGCUGCAACCGCCUGGCUCUAACGUGGUAGUGAGCCGCCUCCGUCAAGUAAGUCGCAGACAAUCGCGGAGCAGCCCCACCUGCUUAUAAACGAAGGGCAUCAGAAGCUGCUCUGCCCAGCCCUUUCAGGUGGUAUCCCAGGUGAAAAACAAGGAAGCGUCUGUCUAUGCUGGGAUCAUAAUUCGAUUCCGGGCUAAUCCGCAUUGCUUCCUACCGUAGUAGCCCUUUCUACCUUCCACUCAGAGAGAUGGAAAUCUUGUGACCCCGCCCUUAGCAACGCCUGUCUCAUUGUUCCGUAAACCAAGGUGAGCGCUAGGCCACGCCCCGAAAUCACACACCGUCCUUGGCUGCUGAAGUCAACGUUGGAUGGGAGGGGUGUUUAAAAAAAAAGGUGUUGCCAGCAUGUGGGCGUCUCACAACGUUGCACCUCUAAGGUUCUAUUCGGUUAACCAUCCGGUCGUCGUUGCUUUCAUAUGGCUUUUCUCAACACGUGAAAAUCCCCUAUCAUACGUCUGUAGAAAUUGUAUGAAACCUCUUGAGUUGUUUCUCAUUUAGGGAUAUCGUUUUUUUAAACAGGACGACAUCCAUAAUAUAGGAAGGUUGUGCCAGUUCACACUCAACUGAAAGGGAAUAGGUUUUCUUUCCAAAAUGGCAAUUGCUGAAAGUUUAUCAGAAUAAAAAUUGAGACAAGCAGAUAGGAUCCUU